CUUAAAGGAUUACUACACAUUUUAACUAAGAUGCCUCCACUUAUCAACAAAUAAAAUUACAUUAACUGGCAGUCAAAUACAAGAAUUAUCUAACAGUGGAAUUUGGAGUGCCUUCUUAAGCUACAUAAAGAUGGAAAACCAGAACAAGUUGCCAGAACAAGUCUUGAGAGGUAGAAGCUUUCAGAAAGCCUUUUGGGGCUAAAUGAAAAGAUCCCAGAGGUCAUCAGAAAACAGCAGAUCUUCAGAUAAAGGCUCUUCCUCAAUCUCUCUAUCAUCUUCCAGCUCUGGACUGUGAUUUGCCGUUGUCACCAAGGACAUUGG